AUGGAAGGGUACGGGUACGGGUCGGAUCACGGUCCAUACGGAAGUGAUAGAAGAGUCGAGAUUGUGAGCGGGAAAAGCUAUGGUUUCAGUCAGAGCUACUACGCGAGUCGGAGUGAGUUAUCUGGCGAGAUGACUCAGGCGAGUCACGGCGGAGCGGCAGCGGUGGCGAAGCCUUGGAGCUUUGGAGACGCGAAAACGAAGAGGAGAAAGAGAAUAGCGAGGUAUAAGGUUUAUGCGGUGGAGGGUAAGGUUAAGGCGACGCUCCGGGAUGGGAUCCGAUGGAUUAAGCAUACGUGUUCUCGGAUUGUCCAUGGGUAUUGA